rnacentral:rRNA from 3 species
GGGACCCGUCUUGAAACACGGACCAAGGAGUCUAGCAUGUGCGCGAGUCAUUGGGAUUUUUACUAAACCUAAAGGCGCAAUGAAAGUGAAGGUCCGCCUUGCGCGGACCGAGGGAGGAUGGACCGUUCCGAGGGACGGCCUCGCACUCCCGGGGCGUCUCGCUCUCAUCGCGAGAAGAGGCGCACCCAGAGCGUACACGCUGGGACCCGAAAGAUGGUGAACUAUGCCUGGUCAGGACGAAGUCAGGGGAAACCCUGAUGGAGGUCCGUAGCGAUUCUGACGUGCAAAUCGAUCGUCGGAACUGGGUAUAGGGGCGAAAGACUAAUCGAACCAUCUAGUAGCUGGUUCCCUCCGAAGUUUCCCUCAGGAUAGCUGGCGCUCGCUUCUCGCGAGUCUCAUUCGGUAAAGCGAAUGAUUAGAGGCAUUGGGGUCGAAACGGCCUCAACCUAUUCUCAAACUUUAAAUGGGUGAGAUCUCCGGCUUGCUUGAACUGUGAAGCCGCGAGAUAUCGGAUCAGAGUGCCAAGUGGGCCACUUUUGGUAAGCAGAACUGGCGCUGUGGGAUGAACCAAACGCUGAGUUAAAGCGCCUAAAUCGACGCUUAUGGGAUACCAUGAAAGGCGUUGGUAACUUAAGACAGCAGGACGGUGGCCAUGGAAGUCGGAAUCCGCUAAGGAGUGUGUAAA